rnacentral:tRNA from 1 species
ACAUUGGUGGCUCAGUGGUAGAAUUCUCCCCUUUCAUGUGGGAGAUCUUGGUUUGAGUCCCAGCCAAUGUA